AGACGAGCACGCGUAGGCGUAGGAAAAAGGGGAAAUCCUUUUCCCUCAAGGAUUCCUGCAAAUCCCAUCCCAAACAGGCAAGCAAUUUUAGAACUAUUUUGUUUCCUAAAUGGGAUGCUCAAAUAGGAAAGAAAAUUCUAGUUUUCUAAACGGGAACACCCCAGAUAGAAAAGUGACUUCAUCCCCAACUACUUUCCUAAAUGGGAUUACUCUAAAGAAUGGGGAAAGUUUGUUAAGAGGAAGUUUAAGGCCCAAGAGAAGUUAAUGGGCCCGAAGAAUUAUAAGGAGGCCUAACUUAAGAGAGGACCAAACCUUGGCCCAAGUCAUGGAAGCCCAAGGGAAGACCUAGAGGAGAGAAUCUGGACCUAGAGACCCACGGAUGACACAUGCCGCACAUGUGAUCAUCCUUUGGCACACGUAUAGGCACACACACGUGUGGAAGGACACAUCUGUAUAUGCGGGGACCUACAUGGCAUGAGGAAGCAUGUGGGCAUGCAGAUAGGAACUAGCCCCAUGCUGCAAAUGUGCAAACAUGUGUUCAAGUCCGCUUGGCCACAUGCACAUCCACACAUGUGUGAACUUGCAUAGCCACUUGGCCUCACAUGCUUGAGAGGGCUUAUUUGCACACUAAGUGACAC
rnacentral:lncRNA from 1 species